CCCCGACGAGGGGAGUGAAACAGUUCCUGAAACUGGAUGCCUACAAACAGUUGGAGCCCAAGGUUCGUCCUGGGUGACAGCGUACCUUUUGUAUAAUGGGUCAGCGACUUAAUCUAGCAAGCAAGCUUAAACCGUUAGGUGUAGGCGUAGCGAAAGCGAGUCUUAAUAGGGCGACUGAGUUAGAUGCAUUAGACCCGAAACCGAGUGAUCUAGGCAUGACCAGGAUGAAGGUAAGGUAACACUUACUGGAGGUCCGAACCCACACCUGUUGAAAAAGGUCGGGAUGAGUUGUGCCUAGGGGUGAAAGGCCAAUCAAACUCGGAGAUAGCUGGUUCUCUGCGAAAUCUAUUUAGGUAGAGCGUCAUCCGAAUACCCCGGGGGGUAGAGCACUGGAUGGGUAAUGGGGCCCCACAGGCUUACUGAUCCUAACCAAACUCCGAAUACCCGGGAGUACUAGAUGGCAGACACACU
rnacentral:rRNA from 1 species